rnacentral:lncRNA from 14 species
GAAGGAGAAUGGAAAUUUAAUGGAGAAGUGAAUCCUGCCCCCAGACAAACACGCAUGGAUUUAUGAAACUGCAUUUGAUAUCCAACCAAGGCAAGGAGCCCUGCUGAAUUCAGGAAGAAGUCCUGGAGAGGUGCUGCCUCCUUCCAAGAUGUCGGGGUGAA